CGGGGUAAGGGUGUAGGCCGUGCGGUAGGUAAAUCCGUCGCACACAAGGCUGAGACCUGAUGCCGAGCCGAUUGUGGUGAAGUGGAUGAUCCUAUGCUGUCGAGAAAAGACCUCUAGCGAGUUUCAUGGCGGCCCGUACCCUAAACCGACUCAGGUGGUCAGGUAGAGAAUACCGAGGCGUUCGGGUGAACUAUGGUUAAGGAACUCGGCAAAAUGCCCCCGUAACUUCGGGAGAAGGGGGGCCGACAUCUGGUGAUGAGCUUUGCGCUCUGAGCUGGGGGUGGCCGCAGAGACCAGCGAGAAGCGACUGUUUACUAAAAACACAGGUCCGUGCGAAGCCGUAAGGCGAUGUAUACGGACUGACGCCUGCCCGGUGCUGGAACGUUAAGGGGACCGGUUAGCUCCAUUUCGGUGGGGCGAAGCUGAGAACUUAAGCGCCAGUAAACGGCGGUGGUAACUAUAACC
rnacentral:ncRNA from 1 species